rnacentral:rRNA from 1 species
UACAGGGGGUGCAAACGUUGCUCGGAAUUAUUGGGCGUAAAGCGCGCGUAGGCGGCUACUUAAGUCGGAUGUGAAAGCCCCUGGCUCAACUGGGGAAGUGCACCCGAAACUGAGUGGCUUGAGUACAAAAGAGGGUCGCGGAAUUCCCGGUGUAGAGGUGAAAUUCGUAGAUAUCGGGAGGAACACCGGUGGCGAAGGCGGCGACCUGGGUUGAUACUGACGCUGAGGCGCGAAAGCGUGGGGAGCAAACAGGAUUAGAUACCCCGU